GAUGAACGCUGGCGGCGUGCCUAAUACAUGCAAGUCGAGCGAACGGACGAGAAGCUUGCUUCUCUGAUGUUAGCGGCGGACGGGUGAGUAACACGUGGAUAACCUACCUAUAAGACUGGGAUAACUUCGGGAAACCGGAGCUAAUACCGGCUGAUAUUUUGAACCGCAUGGUUCAAAAGUGAAAGACGGUCUUGCUGUCACUUAUAGAUGGAUCCGCGCUGCAUUAACUAGUUGGUAAGGUAACGGCUUACCAAGGCAACGAUGCAUAGCCGACCUGAGAGGAUGAUAGACCACACUGGAACUGAGACACGGUCCAGACUCCUACGGGAGGCAGCAGUAGGGAAUCUUCCGCAAUGGGCGAAAGCCUGACGGAGCAACGCCGCGUGAGUGAUGAAGGUCUUCGGAUCGUAAAACUCUGUUAUUAGGGAAGAACAUAUGUGUAAGUAACUGUGCACAUCUUGACGGUACCUAAUCAGAAAGCCACGGCUAACUACGUG
rnacentral:rRNA from 1 species